rnacentral:rRNA from 1 species
GGGGGCGGUGGCUCGGAUUCUGGGCGUAAGGGUUCGUAGGUGGUGCGGCAAGUUGGGAGUGAAAUCUCUGGGCUUAACUCAGAGGCUGCUUUCAAAACUGCCGUGCUCGAGUGCGAGAGAGGUCAGUGGAAUUGCAGGUGUAGCGGUGAAAUGCGUAGAUAUCUGCAGGAACACCCGUGGCGAAGGCGGCUGACUGGAUCGCAACUGACACUGAGGAACGAAAGCUAGGGGAGCAAACAGGAUUAGAUACCCUGGUAGUCCUAGCCCUAAACCAUCAGGACUUGGGGUGGCCCGCGUAGGCGGGUCGUCCCGUAGCUAACGCGUUAAGUCCUGCGCCUGGGGAGUACGGUCGCAAGACUGAAACUCAAAGGAAUUGACGGGGGCCCGCACAAGCGGUGGAACAUGUGGUUCAAUUCGACGCAACGCGAAGAACCUUACCUGGGCUUGAACCGCUACUGACCAACGGUAGAAAUAUCGUCUUCCCGCAAGGGACAGUAGUAGAGGUGCUGCAUGGCUGUCGUCAGCUCGUGCCGUGAGGUGUUGGGUUAAGUCCCGCAACGAGCGCAACCCUUAUUCGUAGUUGCCACCCGCAAGGGGGAACUCUACGAGGACUGCUCCGGAUAACGGAGAGGAAGGUGGGGAUGACGUCAAGUCAGCACGGCCUUUAUGUCCAGGGCUACACACGUGUUACAAUGCACGGCACAGACUGUUGCGAACCCGCGAGGGGGAGCUAAUCGGAAAAAACCGUGCUCAGUUCGGAUUGCAGUCUGCAACUCGACUGCAUGAAGCUGGAAUCGCUAGUAAUGGCGUAUCAGAUCGACGCCGUGAAUACGUUCCCGGGCCUUGUACACACCGCCCGUCACAUCACGAAAGUGAGCUGUACUAGAAGUCGCCGAGCCAACCGUAAGGAGGCCAGCGCCCAAGGUAUGGCCCAUGAUUGGGGUGAAGUCGUAACAAGGUAAC